CCUACGGGUGGCAGCAGUGGGGAAUAUUGGACAAUGGGGGGAACCCUGAUCCAGCCAUGCCGCGUGUGUGAAGAAGGCCCUCGGGUUGUAAAGCACUUUCAGUGAGGAAGAACGCCUGGUGGUUAAUACCCAUCAGGAAAGACAUCACUCACAGAAGAAGCACCGGCUAACUCCGUGCCAGCAGCCGCGGUAAUACGGAGGGUGCGAGCGUUAAUCGGAAUUACUGGGCGUAAAGCGUGCGUAGGUGGCUUGAUAAGCCGGUUGUGAAAGCCCCGGGCUCAACCUGGGAACGGCAUCCGGAACUGUCAAGCUAGAGUGCAGGAGAGGAAGGUAGAAUUCCCGGUGUAGCGGUGAAAUGCGUAGAGAUCGGGAGGAAUACCAGUGGCGAAGGCGGCCUUCUGGACUGACACUGACACUGAGGUGCGAAAGCGUGGGUAGCAAACAGGAUUAGAUACCCUAGUAGUC
rnacentral:rRNA from 1 species